UACGUAGGGUGCGAGCGUUGUCCGGAAUUAUUGGGCAUAAAGAGCUCGUAGGCGGUGUGUCGCGUCGGCCGUGAAAACCUGCAGCUUAACUGUGGGCGUGCGGUCGAUACGGGCAUCACUGGAGUUCGGCAGGGGAGACUGGAAUUCCUGGUGUAGCGGUGGAAUGCGCAGAUAUCAGGAGGAACACCGGUGGCGAAGGCGGGUCUCUGGGCCGAUACUGACGCUGAGGAGCGAAAGCGUGGGGAGCGAACAGG
rnacentral:rRNA from 1 species